GGGCGAAUGGUUUAGUGGUAUAAUACUCCCUUAGCAUUCGCUUUUAAGCGGGUUCAACGAUUGGGAGUGGUCCGGGGUUCGAUUCCCCGUUUGUCCA
rnacentral:tRNA from 1 species